rnacentral:rRNA from 1 species
UACGUAGGGUGCAAGCGUUAAUCGGAAUUACUGGGCGUAAAGCGUGCGCAGGCGGUUUUGUAAGUCUGACGUGAAAUCCCCGGGCUCAACCUGGGGAUUGCGGUGGAGACUGCAAGGCUAGAAUCUGGCAGAGGGGGGUAGAAUUCCACGUGUAGCAGUGAAAUGCGUAGAGAUGUGGAGGAACACCGAUGGCGAAGGCAGCCCCCUGGGAUAUCACUGACGCUCAUGCACGAAAGCGUGGGGAGCAAACAGG